AUUUAUAUAGUUUACAUAAAACCUUAUAUUUUCACUAUAAAAAUAAGAAAUUUUUCUUUAUAAAUA
rnacentral:tRNA from 1 species